rnacentral:rRNA from 1 species
CACGGUGGAUGCCUUGGCACUAGAAGCCGAUGAAGGACGUUACUAACGACGAUAUGCUUUGGGGAGCUGUAAGUAAGCUUUGAUCCAGAGAUUUCCGAAUGGGGAAACCCAGCAUGAGUUAUGUCAUGUUAUCGAUAUGUGAAUACAUAGCAUAUCAGAAGGCACACCCGGAGAACUGAAACAUCUUAGUACCCGGAGGAAGAGAAAGAAAAUUCGAUUCCCUUAGUAGCGGCGAGCGAAACGGGAAGAGCCCAAACCAACAAGCUUGCUUGUUGGGGUUGUAGGACACUCUAUACGGAGUUACAAAGGACGACAUUAGACGAAUCAUCUGGAAAGAUGAAUCAAAGAAGGUAAUAAUCCUGUAGUCGAAAAUGUUGUCUCUCUUGAGUGGAUCCUGAGUACGACGGAGCACGUGAAAUUCCGUCGGAAUCUGGGAGGACCAUCUCCUAAGGCUAAAUACUCUCUAGUGACCGAUAGUGAACCAGUACCGUGAGGGAAAGGUGAAAAGCACCCCGGAAGGGGAGUGAAAUAGAACCUGAAACCGUGUGCUUACAAGUAGUCAGAGCCCGUUAAUGGGUGAUGGCGUGCCUUUUGUAGAAUGAACCGGCGAGUUACGAUUUGAUGCAAGGUUAAGCAGUAAAUGUGGAGCCGUAGCGAAAGCGAGUCUGAAUAGGGCGUUUAGUAUUUGGUCGUAGACCCGAAACCAGGUGAUCUACCCUUGGUCAGGUUGAAGUUCAGGUAACACUGAAUGGAGGACCGAACCGACUUACGUUGAAAAGUGAGCGGAUGAA